rnacentral:rRNA from 1 species
GAUGAACGCUGGCGGCGUGCCUAAUACAUGCAAGUCGAACGCGCAGCGAAAGGUGCUUGCACCUUUCAAGCGAGUGGCGAACGGGUGAGUAACACGUGGAUAACCUGCCUCAAGGCUGGGGAUAACAUUUGGAAACAGAUGCUAAUACCGAAUAAAACUUAGUAUCGCAUGAUACAAAGUUAAAAGGCGCUACGGCGUCACCUAGAGAUGGAUCCGCGGUGCAUUAGUUAGUUGGUGGGGUAAAGGCUUACCAAGACGAUGAUGCAUAGCCGAGUUGAGAGACUGAUCGGCCACAUUGGGACUGAGACACGGCCCAAACUCCUACGGGAGGCUGCAGUAGGGAAUCUUCCACAAUGGGCGCAAGCCUGAUGGAGCAACGCCGCGUGUGUGAUGAGGGCUUUCGGGUCGUAAAGCACUGUUGUAUGGGAAGAAAUGCUAAAAUAGGGAAUGAUUUUAGUUUGACGGUACCAUACCAGAAAGGGACGGCUAAAUACGUGCCAGCCGCCGCGGUAACAC